rnacentral:rRNA from 1 species
GGACCUCAGAUCAGGCAAGAUUACCCGCUGAGUUUAAGCAUAUCACUAAGCGGAGGAAAAGAAACUAACUAGGAUUU